rnacentral:rRNA from 1 species
ACGAACGCUGGCGGCUGCUUAACACAUGCAAGUCGAACGGAGUGGCGAACGGGUGAGUAACGCGUGAGCAACCUGCCUAUGACAGUGGGAUAGCCUCGGGAAACCGGGAUUAAUACAGCAUAGUCAUAGAUGGGCUCGCGUCGGAUUAGCUGGUUGGUGCGAUAACAGCCCACCAAGGCGACGUUCAGUAGCCGGUCUGAGAGGAGGAACGGCCACAUUGGAACUGAGACACGGUCCAAACUCCUACGGGAGGCAGCAGUGGGGAAUAUAGCACAAGGGGUGAAACCCUGAUGCAGCGACGCCGCGUGAACGAAGAAGUUAUUCGUAUCGUAAAGUUCUGUCCUAUGGGAAGCAGUACCAGAGAAGAAAGCUCCGGCUAAAUACGUGCCAGCAGCCGCGGUAAUUC